rnacentral:pre_miRNA from 1 species
UAUUAGGUUGGUGCAAAAGUAAUUGCAGUUUUUACCAUUGAAGGUAAUGGCAAAAACCGCAAUUACUUUUGCACCAAUCUAAUA